rnacentral:rRNA from 1 species
UGCAGUCGAACGAGGUCGCUCCUUCGGGGGCUAAACCUAGUGGCAGACGGCUGAGUAACGCGUGGGUGACCUGCCCCCGAGAACGGGAUAACUGCGGGAAACUGCAGCUAAUACCGUAUACAUUCCCGUGCUUCAAUGCGCGGAAAGAAAGAUUUAUCGCUCGGGGAUGGGCCCGCGUCCUAUCAGGUAGUUGGUGCGGUAACGGCGCACCAAGCCGAAAACGGGUAUCUGGUGUGAGAGCAUGACCAGACAGAAGGGGACUGAGACACGGCCCCCACUCCUCCGGGAGGCAGCAGCAAGGGAUCGUGCACAAUGGGCGAAAGCCUGAUGCCGCGACGCCGCGUGAGGGAUGACGGCUUUCGAGUUGUAAACCUCUUUUCUCAGGGAAGAGAGAGGACGUCACCUGAGGAAUAAGUCACGGCUAACUACGUGCCAGCAGCCGCGGUAAUACGUAGGUGGCAAGCGUUGUCCGGAAUUACUGGGCGUAAAGGGUCCGUAGGCGGUUUGGUAAGUCUUCUGUGAAAGCUCCAGGCUCAACUUGGAGUUGUCGGGGGAAACUGCUGAACUAGAGACUGUCAGAGGCAGGUGGAAUUCCCGGUGUAGUGGUGAAAUACGUAGAUAUCGGGAGGAACACCAGUGGCGAAAGCGGCCUGCUGGGGUAGUUCUGACGCUAAGGGACUAAAGCGUGGGGAGCGAACCGGAUUAGAUACCCGGGUAGUCCACGCCCUAAACGAUGAAUGCUAGGUCUUCGGGGUGUUAAUUCCCUGAGGGCCGAAGGUAACCCAUUAAGCAUUUCGCCUGGGGACUACGGCCGCAAGGCUAAAACUCAAAGGAAUUGACG